AAUCUAUUAUUAGGACAUUUUUUAGAAACAACUAGAAAUCUUUCCCAUGCUUCAUAAAAUGGUUCCUCUUACCCUUGCCUGAAAGUAGAAAUAUUAGAUUUAGUACU